ACCGCGGGUAAUACCCGGCGACGUCCGAGUCGGGCCUCCGAUGCGGACCAAAGAGACAACGCCGUGGGACGGGCCGUCGUGGUAUUAGGUCGUUGGCGGGGUGAUGGCCCACCAAGCCUGUGAUGCCUACCGGGCGUGCGAGCGCGGCCCGGCACACUGGGACUGAGACACUGCCCAGACUCCUACGGGAGGCUGCAGUCGAGAAUCUUCGGCAAUGGGCGCAAGCCUGACCGAGCGACGCCGCGUGGAGGAUGAAGGCCUUCGGGUUGUAAACUCCUGUCGAGGGGGAGGAAGGCCGGGUGACCGGCUUGACCGAUCCCUGGAGGAAGCACGGGCUAAGUUCGUGCCAGCAGCCGCGGUAAGACGAACCGUGCGAACGUUAUUCGGAAUCACUGGGCUUAAAGGGCGCGUAGACGGGUCGGCGCAUCGGUCGCUGAAAUCCCCCGGCUCAACCGGGGAAGUGGCGCCGAGAUGGCCG
rnacentral:rRNA from 1 species